rnacentral:tRNA from 1 species
ACUUUGUUAUUAUAAAAAUAUAUAUCUGAUUUCCAAUCAGAAGAUUUGUUUAAACCACAAACAAGGUC